GUGCAAAUGGUGGGUGGUGGGCAACUUCGGAAACAGUGGAUUGUAACAAUGGAUGGAGUUCCGGUGAAACCCUUUGUUUUUUUAUCUCUGCUUUCAUUAUUUUGCUUGCCCUUAUCUUUCAAAAUAAACUUGUGGAAUGGGUGUUGGGUUGUUGGACAGAUGACUCUGAUUAUCUUCUACUCCUCAUGCAGUGAAGAUGUCUAUUGAAUCGUGCAUGCAGUAGGCGUAGAUUAUUUAACUUACUGCAAAACUUUAUGUUUUAUUAUAUUCUCAUCUACUAUUUUUCUUGUCUGCUCAAGUGUCUUUAGUCUCUCUUAUUGGUUGUAGGAAGGUACAUUGUUCACUGGACAAUUAUGGUCAGAGAAUCUGUUAUGGAAAUUUCUCCAUUGGUUUUUUAAUUCCUGAAUUUGUUUAUUCAUCUUAUCAUCUAGGUCCCUCAUCUUUUACCCAAAUUGAUUAUAGUUUUAUUGAAUACAUGGGCUUUACAUGAAAACGUAUUGGUUGUAGGAAGGUACAUGUGUAAGUCAUGGUGUUUGUCUAACCUUGAGCAAUACUUGAUCGCAGAACCUUAUGAUGAUCGAGCCUACUAUUGAAUUUUCUCAAUUAGUAUUUCGGUUCCUAAAUUUCUUUAUUGAUCUUAUGGUUUUGGGUCUUUCAUCUUCUAUCAAAAUUUCUUGAAUGAAUGUAGUGUUGGUCCUUCAUCAUCUACCCAAUUUGAUUAACGUUUUUCUGAAUUGAUGGGCAAAUGGUGGGUUUGGGUAGGUUUCGGUAAUGGUGGAUGGAAAUCUGGUGAACCUUAGGUUUUUAUUAUUUUUGAAUUCAUUAUGUUCAUUGCCGUUAUUCUUUAAACUAAACUUGUGGAGUGGGAGAUUUUAAAAGUAUACUUGGGAUUAUCAGAAUUGUGGUGCUUAAAUGCUGACUAGAGGAGAAAACUAUUAUUGUGCUUUACAUGGUACGAUCCAUUACGAUUAACAUUAGGAUAAAAUUGUUUUAUAGUGGGUAAUAAAAGUAAUUAGAUACACUGGUUUUAGUUGUUCAAACCUUGUUGUAUCAGUUUUGGAAGUUUUGAAAAUGUUAUAUUUUGUUUUGGACCAAUCUGAAUAUGCUGGAAUACUUACAUUUUGUACUCAAUCUUCCUGUUGAUUGUUGCAUCUUAAUUAAAUAUAAAUAGUAAAGUGGUAGGAAGAAGGAGUACAAAUGUCCUAUGUAUUUUGAACGUUGAGCCUAGUCUAAAUGGAUAUUACAGUUGUAAAUGGAUCUAUUUUACUGCAUGGGUGGUCGUGAACUGGUACAUGUUAGUAACUCACGGCUAUCAUGUACUAUAUCUGAUAUAUGCAUUAUAGUUCUAAAAAUAGUUAACUGAACUAUUGUAGUGUAACUGAACUAAAAAAAUAGUUCAGUUUAUUUUAUUUGAAAAAAAUUUUAGUUUAGUUCAAUUACUCUAACUAUUUUAUAGUUAACUAUAUUUGUAAUUAAGUAGAGUACAGUACACUUUGCCCACCCCUAGCUGCUACAGCCUUUUUGAUGAUGUUGCCUUUUUGAUGAUGUUGCCUUUUUGAUGAUGUUGCCUCUUUGUAGUUCCAACCUCCUUUCACGUGCGCAGUGCCUUUGGUUUAGCCUUCUUCUCUGUGUUGUACCAUCUUCAAGCUAGAUUAUUGAGAAGAAUCAUUGUGGUGAGAAGAAUCAAAAAGGAAAGAGAAGAGUGGAACAAAGAAUUGUGUUCGUUCUGCCGGCAAGUUAGUUUUUAAAACACAUUUAUGUUUCUCUCUAUAACUUUUUUAUGUUUAUAUUAUGUUAUGAUAAAUGUUUAUUACAUGUGUUAGAAAUUCAGGAUUACUCAUUCUAACUAAUUGACUUUUUAACUAUUUAUUUUGGUUUUUUACCCUGUUGAAGUUUUAGUUGUUUAUUGUGCUAUUACACCCUUCUUAACAAUGUCGCCUCUUUGCAUUUCCAACCUCGUUGUAUUUGUAGUCUCGUUGGUGUGGCCUUCCAUCUUUAAACCAAGUAACAUUGACUCCUCUUGCCACAAUUGUUUUCAAAGACCUGCUUGUUUUUUUGUAAUUUUGUGUCGGAUUGAAAAUUUGUCCUAUUUGAUUACUGUAGGCUUUCAGAGAUUGAGUUUGGUCACAGAUUUUGGUUAUGAUUAAGAUUGUUUUUAUUCACAAUGCAAAUUUCAGAUGAUUUUGUGAGUUACUGCUUAUAAAUAUGUUUUCGAACUUUAUAUUGACUUGACAACCUACAUAUAUAUAUGGUUUUAUCACACUAUAAAACUAAGAUUAGAGUGUCCCUCCAAUUUUAAAUCUGAGUUAAUAUUGUGCCUCAAAUUUUGAAAGCCCUAUAAAAUUCAUUUUAUUCAGAGUGCGAAUUUUAGAUGCUUACAUUUGAGUUGUUGCUUAUAAUAUAGUUGCAAGAUGAAUGCUUUAUUCCGUGUGGCUAUUUCUUGAGCCCAAAAGAUGUAUUAAGAGGAUGCAUGUGAAAUGAUAGUUGUGUAACAUUUGUGUGCAUCCAGAUUGAGACUCAGGGAGCACAAUUUGACAUAUUUAAUCAUAGUCAAGAUAAUGAAUGAGUAUAUUCGAGUAAACACUUUGAAUCAUUUUUUGCAAUGAAAUUUUUUAAUUACCAUAGGAAACAAUGACAGUUUUUGAGCCUCUUUUUGUGUGGAAUUGACGGGUUACAAUUGUGCUUUAUACUGAAUUUUGGGUAACAAAGAUUGCUUUUGAGCUUCGUAUGAUUUUGACAUCAUGUUGAUAUAUUAUUUUAUUCACUCUAUGUGUGGUUGCAAUUUGGAAAGCCCUAUAACUUGAGUUGGGCAUACACCCUAAAUGGAAAUGGAGUUGUCGAAUAGCUUUUUGAUAUUUUUGGUUCACAAUGCAAGUUUCGGAAGGCUAUAUUUUGAUUUGUCCCACAUGGAAUUCUCGAAUUGCACUUUGAUUUUCUUGUAUCACUGUGCAAAUUGGAUAUGGUAUAUUUUGAGUUGUCCCAUCAUAAAUAGAUUUGUCCAAUUGCAAGACAGUGGAUGAGUAUAUAUGAGUUAACACUUUGAAUCGUUUUCUGCGAUGAUAAUAAUUAUCAGUGGAAAAAAUGACGGUUUGGGUGGAAUUGACGGAUUAUAAUUGGGCUUUAUAUUUAAUUUAUGGACGACAAAGAUUGCUUUUGAGCUUUGUAUGAAUUUGACAGUUUACAGAUAUAUUGUUUUAUUCACUCUAUAUAUCCGAGUUGAUGGUGUGGUUGCAAUUUUGAAAGUCUUAUAACUUGAGGUGGGCCUACACCCUAAAUGGAACUGUCGAAUUGCACUUUGAUUGUUUUUGGUUCACAGUGCAAGUUCUAUAAGGGUAUAUUUUGAGUUGUCCCAAAUGGAAUUCUCGAAUUGCACUUUGAUUUUCUUGUUUCACUUUGCUAAUUCCAUAUGGGUAUAUUUUGAGUUGUCCCAUGAUAAAUAGAUUUGUAAAAGUGCAACAUAGUGGCUUAGUAUAUCUCAGUUCACACUUUGAAUUGUUUUCUGUGAUGAAAAUUUUUAAUUGUCAUAUGAAACAAUGACGGUUUGUGAGCUUUAUCUUGUGUGGAAUUGACGAAAUUGGGCUUUGUAUUGAACUUAUGGGUAACAAAGAUUGCUUUUGAGUUCGUAUGAAUUUGACCGCUUAUAGAUAUUUUGUUUUAUUCGCUGUACAGAGUUGAUGGUGUGGCUGCAAUGUGGAGAGUCUUAUAACUUUAGGUGGACAUAUACCCUAAAUGGAACGGUCGAAUAACACUUUGAUUUUAUAAUUCAUAGUGCAAUUUCAAUAAUAGUAUAUUUUGAGUGGUCCCACCUGAAAUUCUCGAAUUGCACUUUGAUUUUCUUGUUUCACUGUGCAAAUUCCAUAUGGGUAUAUUUUGAGUUGUCCCAUCAUAAAUAUAUUUGUAUUGAGACCGUUGAUGAAUUCUGGACUAUAAUUUGACUUCAUAUUUAUUCAUUUUGUAAAUAUGAGUUGGGUGUGCAUUCUAAAUUUAGUUUACAGUUUUUGACUAUUUUUGAAAUUUUGGAAUGGCUAUAUCUAAGUUGUCCCUUAUAAUCUUGUUGGAAUAUGCUAUUUUUAUCCAAUGAGGGAUUAAAUGGUCAUUAGUUAUCAAGGAUCGGCUAAAUGUAUUCCUUUUGAGGUGGCUGAUGGGAGGCCUCCACCAACACUGACACGCUUUAUGUCGGGCGAAAUAACAGUAGAAGCUGUGGCACAUGUGCUGCAGAAGGGGGAUGAGGCGUUAAAGCAACUCAAGUACCAUCUAGGAAGGGCACAGGACCAGAUGACCAAAUAUGCGAACUGGAAAAGGAAACCAGUGACAAUUAAAGUAGAGGACUGGAUUUAUUUGAAGAUCAGACCUCUCCGGCAAGUGUCCAUGCUUACCACAUUACAUCUGAAGCUCUGCUCACGAUAUUAUGGGUCGUUUAAGGUGGUUAAACAGGUGGGACCAGUGGCCUUCAAACUUCAGCUUCCGGACCCAGCUAGGAUACUUCCUGUGUUUCAUGUAUCCUAGCUAAAGCUGGCAGUUGGCACACAGCAGGUUGAAAAGGAUCUACCCGAAGAGUUACAGGGAGAAGGACUGACAUUUUGGCCACUAAGAGUGUUGGAUAGAAGACAACAACAACGAAAGAAAGGUUUGGUGCCACAGUUGCUAAUUGAGUGGCAAGAAGGAGGUGCUAAAUUGGGUGUUGGAAUCAUAUUUGAGAUUUUUCAGCUCGGAGCAGCCAAAGAGCUGGAGUUUAGUUCUGCCAUGGGCAGAAUACUGGUAUAACACCAACUAUCAGGGAUCGUCUAAAUGUACUCCUUUUGAGGUGGUUUAUGGGAGGCCUUCACCAACACUAACACGCUUUAUGCCGGGUGAAACAGCAGUAGAAGUUGUGGCACAGGAUCUGCAGACGAGGGAUGAGGCGUUGAAGCGGCUCAGGUACCAUCUAGCAGGGGUACAGGACCAGACGACCAAAUAUGCCAACUGGAAAAGGAAACUAGCGAUGAUUAAAGUAGAGGACUGGGUUUAAUCGAAGAUCAGACCUCACCAACAAGCGUCCAUGCUUACGAGAUUACAUUCGAAGCUCUCCGCACUAUAUUAUGGGCUGUUUAAGGUGGUUAAACAAGUGGGACCGGUGCCUUCAAACUUCAGCCUUCGGACACAGCUAGGAUACUUCCUGUGUUUCAUGUAUCCUAGCUAAAGCCGGCAGUUGGUACACAGCAGGUUGAAAAGGAUCUACCCGAAGAGUUACAGGGAGAAGGACCAACAUUUUGGCCACUAAGAGUGCUGGAUAGAAGACAACAACAACAAAAGGAAGGUUUGGUGCCACAGGUGCUAAUUGAGUGGCAAGAAGGAGGAAAUGAGGGGGCAAUGUGGGAGGUUGUUUUGACCAUGCAAGAGCAAUUUCUGGACUUCAAUUUUGGGGACAAGUGGUGGCGGGUAAGAUAGGAUACUAAGAGUCUGUGAGAGGAGGAAAAAGAAUUGAUAUAGUAGUUAGGAGGUUAGGGGGGUGUUGUUAUGUUUGUAACUGUUAGCAUCUCAGUUAACAGUCAGUUAGCGGGAUGGAAGCCUUUAUAAGAAGGUUGGGGAACUGUUGUAAGGGGUCAACUUUGUUAAAUCUUUUGUAUAGACAGGACAUCUAUAUCCUGUGGAGGGGGAGUGCUCUUUUGGGUGGCUGUAGUGUACAUUGUUUGCUCGUUAUAGAAGAAUACACAUACUUCUUUUCUCUUCUUAGUGUUCGUUUGUGUGCUGUGAGAAGCGUUAGAUAGAUUUCUUGACCAUGGUUUUUGUUUAAACAAGAGCAGUACUUGAUCAUUGGACAUUAUGUUCAACGAGCGUAUUAAGGAAAUUUUUUCAUUGGUUUUUGAAUUCUCA